rnacentral:rRNA from 1 species
UACGUAGGGUCCGAGCGUUGUCCGGAAUUACUGGGCGUAAAGAGCUCGUAGGUGGUUUGUCGCGUUGUUCGUGAAAACUCACAGCUCAACUGUGGGCGUGCGGGCGAUACGGGCAGACUGGAGUACUGCAGGGGAGACUGGAAUUCCUGGUGUAGCGGUGGAAUGCGCAGAUAUCAGGAGGAACACCGGUGGCGAAGGCGGGUCUCUGGGCCGCAACUGACGCUGAGGAGCGAAAGCAUGGGGAGCGAACAGG